rnacentral:rRNA from 1 species
AACGAACGCUGGCGGCGUGGAUGAGGCAUGCAAGUCGAACGAUCAUUUGCGUGUAGCAAUAUAUGCAAGUGGAAGUGGCGUAAGGGUGAGUAAUACGUGAGUAAUCUGCCUCCAAGAUGGGCAUAACCUGGCGAAAGCCGGACUAAUUCCCAAUGUGGUCGGCUGUCACAUGACGGCCUGUCUGAAGUCGGGGACCGCAAGGCCUGACACUUUGGAGAUGAGCUCGCGUCCUAUCAGCUUGUUGGUGAGGUAACGGCUCACCAAGGCUUACGGGUAGCU